rnacentral:rRNA from 1 species
UACGAAGGGGGCUAGCGUUGCUCGGAAUUACUGGGCGUAAAGCGUACGUAGGCGGCUUUGUAAGUUAGAGGUGAAAGCCCGGGGCUCAACUCCGGAAUUGCCUUUGAGACUGCAUCGCUAGAAUUGUGGAGAGGUAAGUGGAAUUCCGAGUGUAGAGGUGAAAUUCGUAGAUAUUCGGAAGAACACCAGUGGCGAAGGCGACUUACUGGACACAUAUUGACGCUGAGGUGCGAAAGCGUGGGGAGCAAACAGG